AGCUACACUGUUUAUCUUGGACCAUCAAGGGUUAUUCCUUUCUCCUCAAAGACCGCGUGAGUUUAUGCAACUUCCACAUAAAGGUCACCCUUUGGUUGUUGCUCUUAUCAUCAAGUAAUUUGGAAUUUGUGAUUCUUCAUUUUUUUAAGAUCUUCAGUAGUUGUUGUAGUGAUUCUUCAAAUGUCAAUAUUUUUUAUUGCUGCAGGUGUAACCAUACAAAACAUCUUGACAAAGUACUGGAAGAGGCUGUGGUCGAGUUUAAUCCAUAUGUAAAGUUUAUGCGUGUAAGUUACCUCAUCUGGAUGCUACAUUCUGGAAAACUAAAUUUUAGAAUAGUAAUAUUUUUCUUAUACGUGUCUUUAUGGGAAAAAGUGUGAUUUUUUAAUCAGUGAUUCUGCACUUCAUGCAAUAAUUUUCAUAGCUUUAGAUCUCAUAUUUGUCCUUUCCAUUCUCUGUUUGUAUAUACUCGUACAAGAGUGUCUAG
rnacentral:lncRNA from 1 species